AGUUAAGUAGAGGGCAGAGGCCAAGACUGUUUUUGCAGGGAAACACCCCACUCAGAAAUUCAGUUCCUGGCUUCAUUUCCCGAAUCUCACAUAAAUAUCUGAGGACAUUGCCGGCUUCCUAGAGCCAAGAGGGAAAACAUGCAUUGAAAAGAACGAGCAAGAGGAGCCAGAGCGCGGGAUGAUCGUUUCGCUGGACGCCCUCCCCUUCAGACACCGUUGGCUGGGGCUCCCGAUGAAAUCUAUUGAGGCAAGGAUGAAGUGCAAGCCAAGAUGGGCAGAGAGGGUUCUCAAUUCUUCCACCAGUGGACACGGUUACAGUUUUUAUUCUGGACUUACAUAAUAUGUUCUGCCUUUGAAAUGCUUCCCCGUUGGUGCUAGUUGCUAGAUUUCAAACAGGUGCUACCAGUGAGGCACCCAAGGUAAAAGGACAUGUCCCUGUCCCCUUGCCCAGUGUGCAUUUGUGCAUUAUGUAUACUCAAAGUGUCCCUGAGACCCCUGACCACUAGAACAUGAAACAAAGACUUCCACAAUGUAGGUCUUCUUUUAUUCAUUCACUAAAUAAACGUUCAUUGGUACCUAC